GUAUUCUGUGUUAUAUAUAAAGAGUGGAUGAACCCUUAUUGUGAGAGUUGCGGGCGGUUUUGAUGCCCAUCCUGAUGUCUAUAGUGAAGUAGACAUGCAUACAUUGCGUAUAGUGUGUGUGAUUAACCUGCUUCUUUUGGCUAAUGAAGCCGAAGUUAUACGCCUUCCAUAUGACAGGCCCAGUCUUCAAGACCUAAGAGAUUUUCUUAACACGACGCUAAUAUGGGUUAAAUGCCGAGAUUAUUCAAGAACCUGGAGCGGCAAUGCUUACUUGUGCGAAAGUUACCAACCAACAUUGACAUCCAAAGACAAGUAUAAUCUAAACGAGACGUACAGAAUGUACGGGCGCUGGUACACCUACAAUUACAAGGCAAUAGUGAAAGAGGAAUCUGGAUAUGAUGGGCCUAUACUGAGAGUGUACGAAGGAGG